AUGGCUGUUGCACGGGCCACGUACCAUCGCCGCCGUGCAGCAGAUGAGGCCGGCGAGAUCAGCGCCUACGACAUCUCGGCACCGGAAUCGCCGGCGACCAUUGCAUCGCAGCUCUCAGAGCCGCUGGCAACUGCUGCAACGCAGCACCGGGAGCCACCGGAGGGCUCCUCCAUAACAACACCGAGCGCGACGUCUCCGGCGAAGCUCCAUUGCAUCUCCGGUGAAAAGCUUCAUUGCAGCUCCGGUGAAGCUUCAUUGCAGCCCCGGCGGAGUCCGUUCCGACCCCAUCGCUGCUUCAACGACCGGGCGGAGCUCCAAUGCAGCCAUGGGUGGCGCUUCAUGGCAACACCGAGCGCGACGUCUCCGGCGAAGCUUCAUUGCAGCUCCGGCGAAAGCUUCAUUGCAGCCUCGGCGGAGUCCGUGCCAACCCCAUCGCAGCUCCAACGACCGGGCGGCGCUCCAUGGCAGCCAUGGGUGGCGCUCCAAUGCAACCUCGACGGCGUGAAAAUAAGCUCCAACACAGCACCUCCUUCGUGCGGCGUUGCAGCACCGGCGGCGAGCAGCGCCCGCCUACGGUCUUCCUGCUGCGAUGCAACAGCGGUAGCGGCGCUAUGGCCCGUGCACCCAUGGCGAGCAGGAAACUGCUGCUUCCAGCUCGCAACAAUGGUGGUGCGCCCCCAUGGCGAGGAGCACACAGCUAGUGGUCGCGUUUACCCCUUGCUUGUAGCAACAACUCCGGGCAGGGUGCAGCUGGUGGUGGUGGUGGUCGUCCAUCCCGGUUGGUGGUUGGCGUCGCCAUGGGCAUCUCUCCCUCUCAGAUGCAACGGAAGAGGUGGGGAGAGGAAAGAAGAUGAGGGGGGAAACGUGUGGAGAGGGAGACGAAGG
rnacentral:rRNA from 1 species